rnacentral:rRNA from 1 species
CCUACGGGGGGCAGCAGUCGAGAAUUUUUCUCAAUGGGCGCAAGCCUGAAGGAGCGACGCCGCGUGGAGGAUGAAGGUCUUCGGAUCGUAAACUCCUGUCAUUUGGGAACUAGUACCAGAAGAGGAAGGGACGGCUAACUCUGUGCCAGCAGCCGCGGUAAUACAGAGGUCUCAACCGUUGUUCGGAUUCAUUGGGCGUAAAGGGUGCGUAGGCGGUCGUGCAAGUCGGAUGUGAAAUCUCAGGGCUCAACCCUGAAACUGCAUUCGAUACUGCGCGGCUAGAGUGCUGGAGGGGAGACUGGAAUUUACGGUGUAGCAGUGAAAUGCGUAGAUAUCGUAAGGAAGACCAGUGGCGAAGGCGAGUCUCUGGACAGACUGACGCUGAGGCACGAAGGCCAGGGGAGCAAACGGGAUUAGAUACCCUUGUAGUC